rnacentral:rRNA from 1 species
GCGGCGAACGGGUGAGUAACACGUGGGUGAUCUGCCCUGCACUUCGGGAUAAGCCUGGGAAACUGGGUCUAAUACCGGAUAUGACCUUCGGCUGCAUGGCUGAUGGUGGAAAGGUUUACUGGUGCAGGAUGGGCCCGCGGCCUAUCAGCUUGUUGGUGGGGUAAUGGCCUACCAAGGCGACGACGGGUAGCCGACCUGAGAGGGUGACCGGCCACACUGGGACUGAGACACGGCCCAGACUCCUACGGGAGGCAGCAGUGGGGAAUAUUGCACAAUGGGCGAAAGCCUGAUGCAGCGACGCCGCGUGAGGGAUGACGGCCUUCGGGUUGUAAACCUCUUUCAGCAGGGACGAAGCGAGAGUGACGGUACCUGCAGAAGAAGCACCGGCCAACUACGUGCCAGCAGCCGCGGUAAUACGUAGGGUGCAAGCGUUGUCCGGAAUUACUGGGCGUAAAGAGCUCGUAGGCGGUUUGUCGCGUCGUCUGUGAAAACUCGAGGCUCAACCUCGAGCUUGCAGGCGAUACGGGCAGACUUGAGUACUGCAGGGGAGACUGGAAUUCCUGGUGUAGCGGUGAAAUGCGCAGAUAUCAGGAGGAACACCGGUGGCGAAGGCGGGUCUCUGGGCAGUAACUGACGCUGAG